UGCUAUGUGUUGCGUGCCUACUGUGUGCCAAUGUGUUCUGGAUAGCUUUAGAGUCUGUGAUAAAGUUGUCACCUUAUGUAUACUAUACUAUCUCUCCUAGUCUACAAACUGGGGAAACUGAGGCUUAGGAGGUGACUUGCUUGAAAUAAGCCAAGUGUCAGACUCUAGCCUAGCAUUCUUCCCACCAAAAACCUGGUGUCUGCAGUGCUGCUGGGAUGUGCUUGCUAGGAUGGGCACAUGGAGUGAAUGCCAGUUCUGUGCCAGCUGCCGAGUGCUGAGAUUACAGGCACGUGUAGGCUGCUGCCUUCUGGGGACCGCCUUCAAUGGGGACCGCCUUCAAUGGGGACCACCUUCAAUGGGGACCACCUUCAAAGCUUGACUGAACCCAGUGCUUGCUGCACACUGCUUCGCACUCUGCCACAUGAGCUGCACGCAGCCCUAGUAACCUGAUUUUAGAACUUCUCAUCAACCCCAGAAGAAACUCGGUACCACCUAUUAGUGUUCUCGUCUCUGUCUCUCCACCACCCUUAGACCUAAGCAAACAGCGAGCUGUGCUUUGUCUUUAUAAAUUUGUUGAUUCCUGGCAUUUUAUAUAAACAGAGGUAUAAUAUA
rnacentral:lncRNA from 1 species